AGGCUCAUGACCUGGUGAGGACUGCUGGUGGGUGAUGACAGUUUAAGUGAUCCCUAUAGUUCUGCUCAGUUGCACUGUUCAGAAUACACAAAAUCUAACUUGAUUCAGAAAGCAACUACAGCAAACAUCAAGAGAAAGAUCAAGGACAACAUAAGUAACAAGUCAGAGAUCCAAGAAGUGUUGUACAACUGCUCUCUGUUAUCACUUUCUCUCUUAGAGUUCACUCCUGGUGCUAUGUGCGCUCAUGAUCCUCAGCAGGUCUUCAGGCAUACCAUUACAUGAAAGAAACAUUUGGAGAACUGAGCUCAAAAAUUGAACUUGCUUGUCUUCCACUAUGAAACCAGAUUUGCUUAAAACAAAUUGUACAGUAGGAUAAACACUUUACUGGGAGGGAGCUGGGAUGCAAAAAGAUGAAGGGAAGCUUGCAGCAAGUCUUCACAAAUGGAUGGAUGGGGGAAGGCAGGUGGAAGGCUGUGUCUCGUGAAAGCAACCAACCAUCCAAUUCCAUUUCAAUAAUGUUUGUAAUUUUCUCCCUAUUGGGGUUGCUGGAAGAACAGCUGCCCUAUAUUUGUGACCAUGUGUCCAGCUUUUGGUGAAUAUGACCCUAACAAAUACAACACAAAACAAAUGAUAUACUUGCUGUUUUAAACUUGUGU